GUACUUACCUGGUAGGGGAGAUACCGUGAUCACGAAGGUGGUUUUCCCAGUUGUCCAUUGCACCCCAGGUGUGCUGAUCCCUGUUAUUUCCCCAAAUGGGGGAAACUCAAGUGCAUCACUUGUGGUAUUGGGGGACUGCGUUCGUACCGUCCUCUG